AUCCGAGUGCAAGGGCGUUAUCCAUCUCAAUGAGGCUUUGCCGAGAGUGGAUUUUUGCUAGUUGAAAACUAUACACUGACCGCUCCUACUUGGGUUCGCCUGGGUAGGGAAUUUUUGGAACACUUUUCCUAUGGAAACUUUUCUUUCAUUGCGAUCGGUCCUUUAUGAACUGGCGCGAAGAAGG
rnacentral:snRNA from 13 species